GGAGGGGUCGCCUAGUCCGGCCUAUGGCGCCCGCCUGCUAAGCGGGUUGGUGGUUUAUCCCGCCUCGAGGGUUCAAAUCCCUCCCCCUCCGCCG
rnacentral:tRNA from 1 species